CUAACUGUUUUUAAAAUAAAUAUAGGACUAUGAAAAAAAUAUAAGUAAAUUUAUCAAUUAUAGGCUGCUUAAAAUAUCUGGCCCUAAUAAGUUAACCUACAUAUCCUGUUGUUUACCUGUUUAUCCUAAAUAAAGCAUCUAAUUUUCCAACUUAAAUUCUUACUACCAAGGGUGAAUGAAAGUGCCCAUAGGCCUGCCAUUUAUGACAUUAAUCUAUAAAAUAAAUUUGUUAUCAUAAUUCUUUAUAAAACACACCAGAACAAAGAAUAACUGGAUCGUAUAAAAAAAUCUUUAUUAGUACGACAGAAAAUUAUUCUAAUAACAACCAAGAAUUAUGGAUAAGGCUCUAUAGCAACUGGAAGUACAUUAUAUAUGGUCUAAUGAUAAAAUGCUGUUUUCAUUGCUAUAAUAAUAUACAAGAAUGAGAAUAGUUUCAGUUUUUUAUAUUUGCUAAUAAAAUUGUCAAUCUCCUUGGACGAAAUAUAUAAAGGGGCACUCCUGUUUUUUUUUUACAGCAAAAAUUAAAAGUGAUUUUCCAGGCUGGUUGUUUGUUGCUGUCACUUGUGGCCGGAAUUAUAGGUUUACCCUUAAACGGAGAACAGGAUACAUCACCUUACUUUGAUUCUACCCAACGUCGAAUUUACAAUGGUGAUGAAGCUGGUCCCGUGCCUCAUAUGGUAGCUUUGGUCGUCGGUACACACACUAAAACCUUCGUAUGUGGUGCCUCCCUUAUUACAACACGCCAUGUGCUCACAGCCGCUCACUGUAUCGAUGCUGUUACGAAAAACGGUGCUCUGAUUGGGUCUCUCAAAGGAAUUGUUGGGACAAAUUAUUGGAACAAAGGCGGAACUCACUAUACUUUUACUGUCAAACAUUCCUCAUCCUCAAUGGGACUCAAGAAGAAAAAGGAAUGAUAUUGGUAUACUUGUCACGUCACUACCGGUGACACUAAAUAAAUAUGUGCAGGUCGUUGGUCUUAAUUUUAAUUUUAUUGGUGGAAACGUCCCUGUAAUUGUCCACGGAUGGGGUAGACUUCAAAAGGAGGCCAAAGAAUCUUCACCUUCACUUCAGGAACUUAGAACAUUUACCAUUGAUAGCAGUUCGUGUGCAUCACGUAUAUUGAAUAGACAAAAUGGUACAACCAGUUUCGAUCCAAAUAGGGAAAUUUGUACUUUUCUUGAUAAGUACUCAGGCGUUUUCUUUGGUGAUUCAGGCAGCCCAUUAAUACUUCAAGAUACUAGGCAGCAAAUUGCUGUCGUAUCGAGGGGAUUUUUAGGAACUACUUCCAGAUAUCCCGACCUGUAUAUGAGAGUUAGUGCCUACAAAGAUUGGAUCCAACAAAUCAU